rnacentral:ncRNA from 1 species
UGAGAUAGAGGACGCAUCUGGUCAUCAGUAGCAAAUUGUAAUGUUGUGCAGAACGCGAUUUGUGAAAGGGACGGAUGCCGAAGAGAGGAAGGCCUGCAUACCGACCGAUCUGGGCGGACGGAAUAAUAUCCGGACGACUGUCGCAACUACGCGGAGUGCUAUCC